GACGAACGCUGGCGGCGUGCUUAACACAUGCAAGUCGAACGGAAAGGCCCCCUUGUGGGGUACUCGAGUGGCGAACGGGUGAGUAACACGUGAGUAACCUACCCUUGACUUUGGGAUAACUUCAGGAAACUGGGGCUAAUACCGGAUAGGAGCUCCUGCUGCAUGGUGGGGGUUGGAAAGUUUCGGCGGUUGGGGAUGGGCUCGCGGCUUAUCAGCUUGUUGGUGGGGUAGUGGCCCACCAAGGCUUUGACGGGUAGCCGGCCUGAGAGGGUGACCGGCCACAUUGGGACUGAGAUACGGCCCAGACUCCUACGGGAGGCAGCAGUGGGGAAUAUUGCACAAUGGGCGGAAGCCUGAUGCAGCAACGCCGCGUGCGGGAUGACGGCCUUCGGGUUGUAAACCGCUUUCGCCUGUGACGAAGCGUGAGUGACGGUAAUGGGUAAAGAAGCACCGGCUAACUACGUG
rnacentral:rRNA from 1 species